CCUACGGGGGGCUGCAGUGGGGAAUAUUUCACAAUGGGGGAAACCCUGAUGCAGCGACGCCGCGUGAGUGAAGAAGGAAUUCGUGAUGUAAAGCUCUAUCAGCAGGGAAGAAAAUGACGGUACCUGAGUAAUAAGCACCGGCUAACUACGUGCCAGCAGCCGCGGUAAUACGUAGGGGGCAAGCGUUAUCCGGAUUUACUGGGUGUAAAGGGAGCGUAGACGGAAGUGCAAGUCUGGUGUGAAAGGCGGGGGCUGAACCCUCAGACUGCUUUGGAAACUGUACGGCUCGAGUGCAGUAGAGGUAAGUGGAAUUCCUAGUGUAGCGGUGAAAUGCGUAGAUAUUAGGAGGAACACCAGUGGCGAAGGCGGCUUACUGGACUGUAACUGACGUUGAGGCUCGAAAGCGUGGGGAGCAAACGGGAUUAGAUACCCCUGUAGUC
rnacentral:rRNA from 1 species